rnacentral:rRNA from 1 species
UACGGAGGAUGCGAGCGUUAUCCGGAUUUAUUGGGUUUAAAGGGUGCGUAGGUUGUUUUUUAAGUCAGCGGUGAAAGUUUGUGGCUCAACCAUAAAAUUGCCGUUGAAACUGGAAGACUUGAGUGCAGGAGAGGUAAGCGGAAUUCCUGGUGUAGCGGUGAAAUGCGUAGAUAUCAGGAGGAACACCAGUGGCGAAGGCGGCUUACUGGACUGUAACUGACGUUGAGGCUCGAAAGCGUGGGGAGCAAACAGG